rnacentral:rRNA from 1 species
CCUACGGGUGGCAGCAGUGAGGAAUAUUGGUCAAUGGUCGGAAGACUGAACCAGCCAAGCCGCGUGCGGGAGGGAGGUACAGGGUAUCGUAAACCUCUUUUGUCAGGGAACAAAGGCGGGGACGUGUCCCCGGGUGAGGGUACCUGGAGAAAGCGCAUCGGCUCACUCCGUGCCCACAGCCGCGUUAAUGGGGAGGAGGCGGGGGUUCUCGGGUUUUUUGGGGUUUAAAGGGUGGGCGGGGGGUCUGUGAAGUCAGGGGUAAAAGCCCGGGCUUAACGGCGGGCCCGCCGUGGAAACUGGCAGUCUCGAGUUGGAGAGAAGUAUGCGGAAUGCGCGGUGUAGCGGUGAAAUGCAUAGAUAUCGGGCAGAACUCCGAUUGCGAAGGCAGCACGCGGGCUCCACACUGACGCUGAGGCACGAAAGCGUGGGUAGCGAACAGGAUUAGAUACCCGUGUAGUC